ACGGGUGAGUAACACGUGGGUAACCUGCCCAUCAGAGGGGGAUAACAUUCGGAAACGGAUGCUAAAACCGCAUAGGUUCUUGAGUCGCAUGACCCGAGAAGGAAAAGAGGCUUCGGCUUCUGCUGAUGGAUGGACCCGCGGUGCAUUAGCUAGUUGGUGAGGUAACGGCUCACCAAGGCCGUGAUGCAUAGCCGACCUGAGAGGGUGAUCGGCCACAUUGGGACUGAGACACGGCCCAAACUCCUACGGGAGGCAGCAGUAGGGAAUCUUCCGCAAUGGACGCAAGUCUGACGGAGCAACGCCGCGUGAGUGAAGAAGGAUUUCGGUUCGUAAAACUCUGUUGUUAGAGAAGAACAGCGCAUAGAGUAACUGUUAUGCGUGUGACGGUAUCUAACCAGAAAGCCACGGCUAACUACGUGCCAGCAGCCGCGGUAAUACGUAGGUGGCAAGCGUUGUCCGGAAUUAUUGGGCGUAAAGCGCGCGCAGGCGGAUUGGUCAGUCUGUCUUAAAAGUUCGGGGCUUAACCCCGUGAUGGGAUGGAAACUGCCAAUCUAGAGUAUCGGAGAGGAAAGUGGAAUUCCUAGUGUAGCGGUGAAAUGCGUAGAUAUUAGGAAGAACACCAGUGGCGAAAGGCGACUUUCUGGACGAAAACUGACGCUG
rnacentral:rRNA from 1 species